rnacentral:rRNA from 1 species
UACGAAGGGGGCUAGCGUUGCUCGGAAUCACUGGGCGUAAAGGGCGCGUAGGCGGGCCAGACAGUCUGUGGUGAAAGCCUCCAGCUCAACUGGAGGGGUCAUUCGAUACUGCCGUGACUAGAGUUCGGUAGGGGAGUGUGGAAUUCCUGGUGGAGCGGUGAAAUGCGCAGAUAUCAGGAGGAACACCCGUAGCGAAGGCGGCACUCUGGGCCGAUACUGACACUGAGGAGCGAAAGCGUGGGGAGCGAACAGG